AGUAUCUGAUGAGUCACCAAGUCCUCUCUGAGCAGGAACCGCCCUAACGUCCAUGAGCAGAUAAGCGGGUAAACGAAACGUGCCCACACGGCACAUACACACGGGUCCUGACCGCACUACCACACGGAUCAGCCUCAGGGGCUGCAAUGAGCCAGACACCAGCAGAGCAGGUAGGAAAUCCGGGAACCAUCCUGCCCGGGGAACACCCGUGUUCCAGUCCAAAACGCCCGCUUCCUUGUCCAAUACGCCGGGGAGGGCCCAGGUGAGGAUGGAGGCCGACGGGAGCCACGACCCACCGAGGUCACAGGUGACCCCGGAGGUUAAAAAAUAUCACCACCAUCUUCCAGUAAUUCGCCAAAAUGACUAGCACAAAGGGAGAGAGUGGCACCGUUACGUGUCCCCUAGGCCUUUUAGGGAACACGGACUUAUUCCUCCGGC